GAUGAACGCUAGCGGCAGGCUUAAUACAUGCAAGUCGAGGGGUAGCAAGAUUGUAGCAAUACAAUUGUUGACGACCGGCAAACGGGUGCGGAACACGUACACAACCUUCCUACAAGUGGGGAAUAGCCCAGAGAAGUUUGGAUUAAUACCCCGUAACAUAGCGAUGUGGCAUCACAUUGCUAUUAUAGCUUCGGCGCUUGUUGAUGGGUGUGCGGCUGAUUAGAUAGUUGGCGGGGUAACAGCCCACCAAGUCUACGAUCAGUAGCUGAUGUGAGAGCAUGAUCAGCCACACGGGCACUGAGACACGGGCCCGACUCCUACGGGAGGCAGCAGUAAGGAAUAUUGGACAAUGGACGCAAGUCUGAUCCAGCCAUGCCGCGUGAAGGAUUAAGGUCCUCUGGAUUGUAAACUUCUUUUAUAAGGGACGAAAAAAGGUCUUUCUAGAUCGUCUGACGGUACCUUAUGAAUAAGCACCGGCUAACUCCGUGCCAGCCGCCGCAGUAACAC
rnacentral:rRNA from 1 species